UACGGAGGGUGCAAGCGUUACUCGGAAUUACUGGGCGUAAAGCGUGCGUAGGCGGUUUGCUAAGUCUGAUGUGAAAUCCCCGGGCUCAACCUGGGAAUGGCAUUGGAUACUGGCAGGCUAGAGUGCGGUAGAGGGAGGUGGAAUUCCCGGUGUAGCGGUGAAAUGCGUAGAGAUCGGGAGGAACAUCUGUGGCGAAGGCGGCCUCCUGGACCAGCACUGACGCUGAGGCGCGAAAGCUAGGGGAGCAAACGGG
rnacentral:rRNA from 1 species